UCAGAGAAUAGUUUAUAAAAAUAUUAAUUUUGGGGAUUAAAGAAAAGAAGAAUUUAUCUUUUCUCUGAU
rnacentral:tRNA from 1 species